GAAGGUAUUUACAGAUUUGGCUUUUAUAACCUCAUUUGGGAUGCAGCAGCCAGGCUCGUUAGCAGGCACAGCCUCAGCAGAUGCUCAGGCUGCAGACAGCGAUGGGGCUGCUAUCGCUCCCAGAUGUUUAUCACCGCCACAGCUAAUUACUUCCACAGUUCCUCCACACAUGGAUGGUUUCUGAUCCUUUUUACAUCGAGUCAGCCAGGCUGCUUCGGGCCUCUCCCUGCUAAAGGUGGCUAUGAUGGAAAGCAGCUGACAUGGUCUGAAGCAGUUGCGGUGCACUCGAACAACCCCUGCUCUUGGCUGACCUACUCCUGUGGUAGUUUCUGGCUCAUGUGUGUCGAUUCUCAGCUCACAGCAGGACCAUCUCCUACCAGCACUCUACCUCAGGACACACAGGAUUUGGGUACCUGAGCAAAGCGUGUGGAAAACCCAAGGAAAAACUUAAGGUCAUGGAACUGGAAGCUGAUGCCUGAUCUGCAAUCAGAAACUCCACUGAUACCUGUGGUGAAAGAGAAUUCAUAAAAGAUCAUGGUCUUCAAAGCAAAGGAGAAAAAAACCAGGGAAGCCUUUUAUAAAAUGAGGGCACGGUGUUUUCUAAAGA